GAUGAACGCUGGCGGCGUGCCUAAUACAUGCAAGUCGAGCGAACAGAUAAGGAGCUUGCUCCUUUGACGUUAGCGGCGGACGGGUGAGUAACACGUGGGUAACCUACCUAUAAGACUGGAAUAACUCCGGGAAACCGGGGCUAAUGCCGGAUAACAUGUUGAACCGCAUGGUUCUAUAGUGAAAGGCGGCUUUGCUGUCACUUAUAGAUGGACCCGCGCCGUAUUAGCUAGUUGGUGAGGUAACGGCUUACCAAGGCAACGAUACGUAGCCGACCUGAGAGGGUGAUCGGCCACACUGGAACUGAGACACGGUCCUGACUCCUACGGGAGGCAGCAGUAGGGAAUCUUCCGCAAUGGGCGAAAGCCUGACGGAGCAACGCCGCGUGAGUGAUGAAGGUCUUCGGAUCGUAAAACUCUGUUAUUAGGGAAGAACAAAUGUGUAAGUAACUGUGCGCGUCUUGACGGUACCUAAUCAGAAAGCCACGGCUAACUACGUG
rnacentral:rRNA from 1 species